rnacentral:rRNA from 1 species
GGCAGCCGCGGUAAUUCCAGCUCCAAUAGCGUAUAUUAAAGUUGUUGCAGUUAAAAAGCUCGUAGUUGAAUUUCGGGGUUAGUAGGCUGGUCAUGCCUCUGGUAUGUACUGGUCUCACUGAUUCCUCCUUCCUGAUGAGCCGUAAUGCCAUUAAUUUGGUGUUGCGGGGAAUUUGGACUGUUACUUUGAAAAAAUUAGAGUGUUUAAAGCAAGCUAACGCUUGAAUACAUUAGCAUGGAAUAAUGAAAUAGGACGUUCGAUCCUAUUUUGUUGGUUUCUAGGAUUGACGUAAUGAUUAAUAGGGAUAGUUGGGGGCAUUAGUAUUCAAUUGUCAGAGGUGAAAUUCUUGGAUUUAUUGAAGACUAACUACUGCGAAAGCAUUUGCCAAGGAUGUUUUCAUUAAUCAAGAACGAAAGUUAGGGGAUCGAAGACGAUCAGAUACCGUCGUAGUCUUAACCAUAAACUAUGCCGACUAGGGAUCGGAUGAUGUUAAUUUUUUAAUGUACUCA